rnacentral:rRNA from 1 species
AUUAAUAAAAUUGUUUUGUAUUUUUUUUGAUUUGAAUUGAUUUUAAUUAAAUAAAUUUAAGUUAUUGUAAAGUAAAUUGAUUGAAUUAUUUUUACUAUAGUAAAUUAGUACUGUGAAGGAAUUUUUUUUAUAAAUUAUAUAUUAUAAUUAAUAAAAGGUAAUUUUAUUUAUUGUAUCUUGUGUAUCAGAAUAUAUUUAAAUGGAUUAUAAAUUUUUUUUUCUCGAAUUUAAAAGAUUUAAUUGAAAAUAUUAGUUAUUGUUGCAUAAUUAUUAAUAAUUUUUAAUUGGUAGUGAGAUGUUAUUCGUUUUUAAGGAUAUCUAGUUUUUUAAUAAAUGAAUUUAAUUCAGGAAAUAUAAAUUAUUUAACAUAUGAUUGUUAAAAUAUUUAAUGUUUCUAAUUUUAAAAGGGAUUAGCUUUUUAAAAAAUAAUUAUAAUAAAUUAUGAAUAAAGGAUUUUAUAAAUUUAGAGUUUGUUAUUAAUUUAAGGAUGUUAAAAUUUAAUUCUUUUUUUUUAUGAUUUUUAAUUAUUAUUUAAUUUAUAUAUAUUAAAAUAUUAAAUUAAAUUUGUAAGUUUUGGAAAUAAUGAUUUAAUUAGUAAAAAUAUACAUGUUAAAUAAUCAUUGAUUUGGUAAAUGGUAUAUAAAGAAUUAGGCAAAUAUUUCACUCACCUGUUUAUUAAAAACAUGGUUUCUUGUAUAUAUUUAGGAAAUCUAGUCUGCCCACUGAAUAUUAAUUAUUUGAAGGGCCGCGGUAUUUUGACUGUGCGAAGGUAGCGUAACCAUUAGUCUUUUAAUUGAAGGCUUGUAUGAAUGGCUGGAUGAGGUGAAUACUGUUUUAUAUUUAUUUAAGUUGAAUUUAGAUUUUAAGUAAAAAUACUUAAAUAAUAUUAAGGGACGAGAAGACCCUAUAGAGUUUAAUAAAUGUAAUAAUUAGUUAGGUUAAAAAUUAGUUUAUGAUUAAUAUAAAGUUUAUUUAAUUGGGGAGAUUUAAAGAUAAAUAUAACUCUUUUUAAAUUUUAAUAUUAUAUUUAGUUUUGUGGUCCAUUAAUAAUGAUUAAAAGAUUAAAUUACCUUAGGGAUAACAGCAUAAUUUCUUUUAAGAGUUCAUAUCGAAAAGGAAGAUUGUGACCUCGAUGUUGGAUUAAGAUUAGUCUUAUAGGUGUAGAUGUUUAUAGACUAGGUCUGUUCGACCUUUAAAAUCUUACAUGAUCUGAGUUUAAACCGGCGUGAGCCAGGUUGGUUUCUAUCUUUAAUUUUGUUAAAUAUUUUAGUACGAGAGGACCAGAUAUUUAAAAUAAUUUUUUAAUAAUGAGUUCUAUUAAUAUUUAUUAA